rnacentral:rRNA from 1 species
UGGGGAAUUUUGGACAAUGGGCGCAAGCCUGAUCCAGCAAUGCCGCGUGCAGGAUGAAGGCCUUCGGGUUGUAAACCGCUUUUGUCAGGGAAGAAACGAGUUUCUCUAAUACAGAGACUUAAUGACGGUACCUGAAGAAUAAGCACCGGCUAACUACGUGCCAGCAGCCGCGGUAAUACGUAGGGUGCGAGCGUUAAUCGGAAUUACUGGGCGUAAAGCGUGCGCAGGCGGUUAUAUAAGACAGAUGUGAAAUCCCCGGGCUCAACCUGGGACCUGCAUUUGUGACUGUAUAGCUAGAGUACGGUAGACGGGGAUGGAAUUCCGCGUGUAGCAGUGAAAUGCGUAGAUAUGCGGAGGAACACCGAUGGCGAAGGCAAUCCCCUGGACCUGUACUGACGCUCAUGCACGAAAGCGUGGGGAGCAAACA